CCUGUGAGAUAGGCAGAGAGAAAGUGCUACACUUGUGCAGUUCAACUUGUAAAAAAAAAAAAAAUGAGCAGGAAGAUCUUUUGUUUCCUUCUUUUGGAAAUGAAAUAUCUUUCUGCUCAUUUUUUAAAUAUAUAUAUAUAUAAGUUGAACUGCACAAGUGUGGCACUUUGUCUCUGCCUAACCUACUUC